UCCAGGGUAGCCUAGUGGACAUGGCAUCUGCCCGGUAAGCGGAACACUGUUGGGUUCGAUUCCCAUCCUUGGAC